AGGUUGGCCCAAGAGACUGUGAACAUGCCUCAGGAUCUACCCAAGCUAAGAAAUCUACCUACAAGACUAGCUGCCUCCUUGGGAUUCCUCAGGGAAAGUCCUGGCCUACUCAGCUGCCAGAAACCCUAAUGUAGUUUCAGACUGAAGGCAUAAAAUCACCACGUCUGGAACAAAGGGAGUUCAUCCGAUGUUUUCCUUGUUUGAUUGUGUCUGACAGACUGCUCUGUUCUGAAGGCAGAACAUCUCAAAGCUACUGGGAUUGCAGAAGCCAUUUAGCUUUCCUAGGCUUCUCCCAAGGAGCAGUAUCUACCUUUGAUGGUCAAGAAGAGACAUCUGGUCAAUAGAGUACGCUGCAUUAGUGAACAGAAGAAUAAUGCAGCAAUAUGCCAGUAUUAAUACUGUAACCACCACCUACAUAUUGGAAGGAAAAAAUUAACCUGUUCCAAAAUAUGGGAAACCUGGAAGAGGAGAAUAACACAUUUAUUUAAGUGGAAUAAAAGACUACUCAAGGGGCAAGGCUUACAGGUUGUGGAUACCCUGAAUCUUGCCCUGAGGAUUCUGUCAUGCAAGUGGUGAACUACUUAAUGAACAAAAGAAGGGAAGAAAUGAUGGCAAAUCCAAGCAACUGCCUAUGUCAUGGAAAUGUCUUUCUUUUGCUAUAAUCAUCAGGAUCAUUAUCUGGUGGAAAAACUCUAAUAAGACAGGAUGCACUUUUGCUUCUCCCCCAUCCUCGUCAUUUUGGCAACCUUGUGGAGAAACUCUCUUCUCUGUCUCUGAGGCAGUUCAUCAGAGUUUAUAUCCACCACAUGGCGAUAAGGCUCUCUUUGCCAACCUUCAGAAAGCUUGUUCCAACUAAAUUUUUUGAAGUCAGUAAUAGAAGUUAGUGAGCCACAUCCUCUUUGGAAAGCCUUGAAGGGAUUAAACAUUUGUCAACUUGCAUAA